rnacentral:ncRNA from 2 species
CAGGAACCCGGUGCGAAUCCGGGACGGUCCCGCCACUGUGACCGGGCCGCCGAGCGGCCCGGAAGCCAGGAACUG